GGUGGCUCAGUGGUAGAGUGCUUGCCUCGCAUGCAUGAGGUCCUGGGUUCAAUUCCUCAGUACCA
rnacentral:tRNA from 1 species